GACCUGAACAAACACCAAGGAAGAAACAGUCAUUACCCCAUGUGCUCUUAAAAUCUCUUUUAUUGACUUUUAAAAGUGUGAAUAGAGGAGUACUCCAAGAAGAGCAACUGAGAACUGCAGCAACUAUCUGUGGCAAUGUUGCAGAAACACAGCAUUCAGAAGGCGGCUUGGUACCUAUCCCUGGAGUGAAUGGGAGAAGUUGAGGAUGCUCAGCCUCUUAUGGUGCACUCUGCCUUCAUGACGACAGCUCACCUUGGAGAAAGAUAUAGUGUGUGAAUAGCCGUAGGGCGGGAGCCAAUGGCAGCAUCUCUCUUGAGUGAGCCAUGCUGUUAUGAUAUGGCAUAGCACAGAGAGGGAAGCACUGUGCGAAAGCAUUGGGCUCUAAAGACUUGGAACCUGCUUUCCCAGUGUUUCCUUGCAUUCUUCCAGGCUUGUAGCGUGCCCCCUCAACACCUUCCACAUGCAGAAGCCUCCCUCCCGCCAAUGGCACAAUCUGUGAGGUUCACUACCUAGUGGCUUGAUCCUGCACCCAUUUGGAGUCCAUGUCAAAGCUCACUUUGACUUCAGUAGUAUAGGAUCUGAGUAUAGGUGAAUGUACAGAGUUUAAGCAUUUUUCCCCACACUGUGGAAAGAGAACACUGGGCUGAAAUCAACUGAAAAGACCUGCAUUUAUGACCACAGCUCAGUCAGUAGUGAAGUUUGUGAUCUUGAGCAAGUUACUUGACCUCCUGCUGCUUUCACCCACUUUAAAUGGACUACUCCAUCUGGAGAAUGGAAUAUACAUGGAUCUAUGGAAGAAUUCCUAAACACUCAGCUUCACUCCACAAAUUCAAUUAGCUUUUCUUAGGUCAUUAUGUACAGAUCUGAGUACAUCAUUUUGCCUAAAGUGCCACUGUAUUGUAUCUAAACUUUUUUGAGAAAUACAUUUGGAUCUACGUGUCAAGUGGAUUUUAAAUCAGUUACAUAAAGCCACAGUAUGAGAGAAAUGUUUUCUCUAUUCCUCUGUAGUUAGGAAAUAUCAAUUCUAUUUUUCCUCUAGAUUACUUGGAAAAAGAUGUCUACUGGAGAUGUGACAUAUAUGGUAAUUUCCUGCAAUAUCCUUGAAAAACUGGAUUGAAAUAAGUAUCUUUAGAGUAAAUUGUAUUAAAUGUAAAGGUUAUGUAUUAUUGUGAGCCCUGGGAAGUGUUCUGUAUUUCAAAGGACUAUACUGAACAAUAGGCCAGACAACAUAAGACUUUUGGACAAACAGAGUCAAGUGGUUUGCCCAGGAAAUCUCUAGGGAGAAGUGAAUUCAAAUUCCCACCUCUAGUUAUGCAAAACCCCAGCCUUUUGAAGCUACACCCUGAGGAGAGCAUGAUUAUAUACUGGUCACCUGUUACUGGAAUCUGAAGAUCAAAGGCCCAAACUGUAUAAAGGAAAAAGAAAAGGAGUACUUGUGUGGCUGAGCCAUUACACACAUUGAAUCUAUUUUCCCCAUGUUAAGUAUCCUCACACCUUCUUGUCAAACUGUCUGU